CGUGCCUAAUACAUGCAAGUCGAGCGAACGGACGAGAAGCUUGCUUCUCUGAUGUUAGCGGCGGACGGGUGAGUAACACGUGGAUAACCUACCUAUAAGACUGGGAUAACUUCGGGAAACCGGAGCUAAUACCGGAUAAUAUUUUGAACCGCAUGGUUCAAAAGUGAAAGACGGUCUUGCUGUCACUUAUAGAUGGAUCCGCGCUGCAUUAGCUAGUUGGUAAGGUAACGGCUUACCAAGGCAACGAUGCAUAGCCGACCUGAGAGGGUGAUCGGCCACACUGGAACUGAGACGCGGUCCAGACUCCUACGGGAGGCAGCAGUAGGGAAUCUUCCGCAAUGGGCGAAAGCCUGACGGAGCAACGCCGCGUGAGUGAUGAAGGUCUUCGGAUCGUAAAACUCUGUUAUUAGGGAAGAACAUAUGUGUAAGUAACUGUGCACAUCUUGACGGUACCUAAUCAGAAAGCCACGGCUAACUACGUGCCAGCAGCCGCGGUAAUACGUAGGUGGCAAGCGUUAUCCGGAAUUAUUGGGCGUAAAGCGCGCGUAGGCGGUUUUUUAAGUCUGAUGUGAAAGCCCACGGCUCAACCGUGGAGGGUCAUUGGAAACUGGAAAACUUGAGUGCAGAAGAGGAAAGUGGAAUUCCAUGUGUAGCGGUGAAAUGCGCAGAGAUAUGGAGGAACACCAGUGGCGAAGGCGACUUUCUGGUCUGU
rnacentral:rRNA from 1 species